rnacentral:rRNA from 1 species
UACGGAGGGUGCAAGCGUUAUCCGGAUUCACUGGGUUUAAAGGGUGCGUAGGUGGGCGAGUAAGUCAGUGGUGAAAUCUCCGGGCUUAACCCGGAAACUGCCAUUGAUACUAUUCGUCUUGAAUGUUGUGGAGGUAAGCGGAAUAUGUCAUGUAGCGGUGAAAUGCUUAGAUAUUACAUGGAAUACCAAUUGCGAAGGCAGGUUACUAUCACUAUAUUGACGCUGAUGGACGAAAGCGUGGGGAGCGAACAGG